UCCUAGGAUUGUGGUCACACAGCAUGGGUGGCACCAACCACAGAGACUUUCUUGGAUCUAGAGGUUAGGAACGUGAAGUCGGGAUACUGGCUGGUCCCUCCACGUACUCUGGGUGAGGAACUUUUCUUACCACCUUCAGAAGAAAGUGGCUUUGUCUAGGUGGCCCUUGGCUGUGUGAUUGAUCUCUGCCCCUUCGUUCUCAUGACUUUCUCCUUUUUACAAGGACACUAGCUUUUCUGGAUCAGAGCCAUCCUAAUAGCCUCAUCUUGACAUCACUGUAUCUUUAAUAACCACCGUUACAGGUCAUGUUUGAAAGGGGUAGGACUUUCUCAUAUCUUUGGGGGAGACAUAAUAAAACACCAUAAUUAGUAAAGAAAUUUGAGUUGGAUCCACAUGAUGGGAUAUGUUUUUAAUCCUGGUACUGGGGAGGUAGAGGCAGGCAGAUCUCUGAGUUCAGGGCAAGCCAUUUGUACAUAGAUCUAGGCAGGUUAGGGCCACAUAGUGAGAUUUUUUUUUUUUUUAAACAGGGGGAAAAAAAAGUCUGGAAUCAUAUAUCCAAGUGCUUCACUGAUUCUGUGUGAUCUCCAACCACUAUCAACCAUGGGUUCUAAGUCCAUGCCCCUGUCUCCACAGGAACUUCAGGCUCAAUCCUUCUCCUACCUAUUUAGUCUCUGAAAUACUGAGACUGAAGUAAGGAGAAAUGCCUUAUUACCUAAGGCCCCCAGCACUGGAGUUAUAGGCAGAGCUUGACUUUUAGCAAUAACUAGGCUAUAUGUUUAUAGCCUAGACUUAAGAGCAGCCAGACCAGUUGCUCAAUUCUUUUUCCCAGCUCCCCAGGUUACAACACCCAGGGACAGUACCCUGAACAAGUUCCAGGGCUCACUGUAUAUAUUCAAGGACUCUUGGCUCUCUCCGUGGAGCUGGUUUUUGGCAGGUGGAAACCAAUUGGCCCAGGCUGAUCAUGGCUGCACUCAACCCAGCUUCAAUAUUUGGACAGGAGCAAGGCAUGUGUGCAGAGGCAGCAAGAGAGUUGAGAGGGUUUUAGCUCUGAGUGAGACUGAAGGGAUUUGACAUGUUAUUGAAUCCUGGUGCAAGAGGUGAACUCUGGGCCGCCACGCAUCCCAGGAAUGCGGAUGUAGCGCUCUCAGCGCAUAUCUGAAGCUGACAGGGGUUGACAGUCCCCAUCUGGGAACAAUAACCCAAGCUGCACGCCCGCCCGCCCGUCCGCCUGGCCUGGGCAGGGGCUGCUCCCUGACCCCGCCCCUUUCCACCUCCGGAGCCCUGACUCUAACGUGGUGCGCACAAGAAGGGAGUUUCGCCUCUCUUGCAGUCUCCUGAGUCCUGGGGACCGCUGAGCAGGGCAGGUUGUGGGAUACUUGUCAUUCCAGGAGCAGCAGGCUGCGACAUGGUCCAUUUCUCCUCUGGGAGACCUGAGUGGAACGCUGCGGGGAGGCAAUUUGGGAUGCCAACUGAUCACCCAGCCGGCUGUGGGUCUCCUCGCUUCAGGGAAGCCAGGGUAGUGAUGUAUUUGUGUCCCGGUGAAUACCUCGGGCAUUCUUUGUUCCCUUGGGGAGGCGCUUCCAUAGUGAAGUUCAAAGCACCCGCUCACAAGCCACGUACCCUAAUCCUCUCUCUGAUCUGGAUUUUGUUGUGUAACUAAACUGAUUACAAGACUUUGGCUGGCACUUGGGCUAGGCUGUGUCUUUGGGAUAGCCUCUCACAGGCUUCGUUGCCACGUGGUGAUACACCAGCUGAGGGCCCUGUGACGAUGUGGGGGAGUUUGUGAAGCAGCAAGAAAUCUGGGGCUGGGACCUCACAAUGGCAUUAGCCUACCUCACCCUUGCUAUGCACUGUGGCUUCUCUCUUCUUCCCUAGUCCUUGACGAGCAUCUCAGACCAUACGCGAUGCCAUUCCUGAGCCAGCCUUGUCCAACAACACUGUUCUUCCCACUCCUGUGUCUUUGAUUUCUGGUCUUCUCCAUAGUGGCAGCUCCUACCAAUGCCCAUAUUGUCCCAGCAAUCAGGCUUCUGUCCGAGAACCCAGAAUUCCAUGCCUCUACUGGGUAACUGUCCAUAAAUCACCACACCGCAGAGGUCCUUGGAGGCCCUGUGCAGGUUGGAGAGCUCUGCAUGAAGCUCGGGUCAAGAAUCUGCCAGCAAACGGCUGAGGAGCCUCAUGCUUGGUCCACUCUUGCCCUUCCACUGCAAACAUGCUAUUCCUAUGCUCUCUACCAGCACCAAUGGUUCUGCCCCCGGGAUGAUGAGCGAGCAGAAUAUUGGACAGACCAGAAGCAGGGCAAGUUCUUGCUGCAUAAAGGAUCUAACAGACAGUCUCCUGUGAGAAUAGAAGCUACGUCUUAAACUACAUCAGAGGCAAACGUGAGUGGUUCAGACAGGAACUGCUCAGACCACCAGCCUUUGGAGACUUUGGACUCUAUGGUGAAGCUUCUCUUUUCCUGUGCUGGCACAGCUGGAGCACCCAAUGUCCUCUGCAAGCUGCUCAUGAGAACCUGCCUCCCAUGUUGACAAGAUGUACCCAGUCCUGCACAGUGAUGGUACAGGGAAUUCAAAGCUAAGCAAGACCCUGCUGGUGCCGGACGCACAGACAUUCCUUCUCAGAAGUGUGAGCAGUUGUGCUUGGCCUGGAGCUUGUUCCUAGAAAAAGUUAAUGAAAUGUGAUGGUUUUCUUGAAAUUCU